GGUGCAGGGUUGAGGCUAGGUGCAGGGUUGAGGCUAGGUGCAGGGUUAAGGCUAGGUGCAGGGUUAAGGCUAGGUGCAGGGUUGAGGCUAGGUGCAGGGUUGAGGCUAGGUGCAGGGUUGAGGCUAGGUGCAGGGUUGAGGCUAGGUGCAGGGUUGAGGCUAGGUGCAUGGUUGAGGUGCAGGGUUGAGGCUAGGUGCAGGGUUGAGGCUAGGUGCAGGAAUGAGGCUAGGUGCAGGGUUGAGGUGCAGGGUUGAGGCUAGGUGCAGGGUUGAGGCUAGGUGCAGGGUUGAGGCUAGGUGCAGGGUUGAGGCUAGGUGCAGGGUUGAGGCUAGGUGCAGGGUUGAGGUGCAGGGUUGAGGCUAGGUACAGGGUUGAGGCGCAGGGUUGAGGCUAGGUACAGGGUUGAGGCGCAGGGUUGAGGCUAGGUGCAGGGUUGAGGUGCAGGGUUGAGGCUAGGUGCAGGGUUGAGGUGCAGGGUUGAGGCUAGGUGCAGGGUUGAGGUGCAGGGUUGAGGCUAGGUGCAGGGUUGAGGCUAGGUGCAGGGUUGAGGCUAGGUGCAGGACCAGGGUUAGAGUUUAUACCAGGCCAAUGUCUGUCCGUAGAUGAGUUCCA
ensembl:lncRNA